UACAGGGGGUGCAAACGUUGCUCGGAAUCAUUGGGCGUAAAGCGCGCGUAGGCGGUCGCUUAAGUCGGAUGUGAAAGCCCUCGGCUUAACUGAGGAAGUGCAUCCGAAACUGAACGGCUGGAGUACGAAAGAGGGUCGCGGAAUUCCCGGUGUAGAGGUGAAAUUCGUAGAUAUCGGGAGGAACACCGGUGGCGAAGGCGGCGACCUGGGUCGAGACUGACGCUGAGGCGCGAAAGCGUGGGGAGCAAACAGG
rnacentral:rRNA from 1 species